CAGCAGCCGCGGUAAUACGAAGGGGGCUAGCGUUGCUCGGAAUGACUGGGCGUAAAGGGCGCGUAGGCGGUUCGUACAGUUGGAUGUGAAAUUCCUGGGCUUAACCUGGGGGCUGCAUUCAAUACGUGCGGGCUUGAGUGUGGAAGAGGGUUGUGGAAUUCCCAGUGUAGAGGUGAAAUUCGUAGAUAUUGGGAAGAACACCGGUGGCGAAGGCGGCAACCUGGUCCAUAACUGACGCUGAGGCGCGAAAGCGUGGGGAGCAAACAGGAUUAGAGACCCCUGUGUCCCUGUCUCUUAUACA
rnacentral:rRNA from 1 species